UGGCUGCCUGGGUGCCAGGGACUCUGAAGCUU
rnacentral:piRNA from 1 species